UGAUUUGCAGGGUUUGGGGAAGGUUGCCUGUGCCUAAAGCAUCAUUCCGUCCCACUCUGGUGCUGUGCACGGAGCUCGACUAUCCUGAAUCCACCAUGAUUCGACCUCAUGUCAGUCCUUUGGCUGCCAGCCCAGUUCAACUCCAAGCUGAUGACCAGUGUCGACCGCCAGUCAUUCUGAACAUUUGACCAGUUGAGCUUUCAAAUGAUGGCAGUCCUGGCUGACAUUUUGGGUGAACAAUAUGAGAGACUGACUGGUUGAGCCCUUCCCAAAUUUCUGACCCACAACAUUGUGAGAAAAAUAAUCUUAAGCCUCUCAGUUUGGGGACAAUUUGUUACUCAGCAAUAGAAAUGAAAAUAUGAUCUCAGUAGGACCAUGUGA
rnacentral:lncRNA from 1 species